CCUACGGGGGGCAGCAGUGGGGAAUAUUGGACAAUGGGCGAAAGCCUGAUCCAGCCAUGCCGCGUGUGUGAAGAAGGCCUUCGGGUUGUAAAGCACUUUCAGUGGGGAAGAAAGCCUUGGGGCUAAUACCCUCGAGGAAGGACAUCACCCACAGAAGAAGCACCGGCUAACUCCGUGCCAGCAGCCGCGGUAAUACGGAGGGUGCGAGCGUUAAUCGGAAUUACUGGGCGUAAAGCGCGCGUAGGCGGUCUGAUAAGCCGGUUGUGAAAGCCCCGGGCUCAACCUGGGAACGGCAUCCGGAACUGGCAGGCUAGAGUGCAGGAGAGGAAGGUAGAAUUCCCGGUGUAGCGGUGAAAUGCGUAGAGAUCGGGAGGAAUCCCAGUGGCGAAGGCGGCCUUCUGGACUGACACUGACGCUGAGGUGCGAAAGCGUGGGUAGCAAACAGGAUUAGAUACCCUUGUAGUC
rnacentral:rRNA from 1 species